GGGGCCCAGCAAUGGGCAACCGGCGAACGGGUGCGUAACACGUGAGCAACCUACCGAACUGUGGGGGAUAGCCGGCCUAACGGCCGAGUAAUACCGCAUACGCUCUCAGUGAGGCAUUUCAUUGAGAGGAAACCUACGGGACAGAUCGNGGGNCUCGCGGNNUNUNNGCNNAUUGGCGAGGUAACGGCUCACCAAGGCAACGACGGGUAGCUGGUCUGAGAGGAUGGCCAGCCACAUUGGGACUGAGAUACGGCCCAGACUCCUACGGGAGGCAGCAGUGGGGAAUCUUGCGCAAUGGCCUAACGGCUGACGCAGCGACGCCGCGUGUGGGAUGAAGCUCUUCGGAGUGUAAACCACUGUUGCCCGGGACGAACAGCUCGAUUAAUCGAGCCUGACGGUACCGGGUGAGGAAGCACCGGCUAACUCCGUGCCAGCAGCCGCGGUAAUACGGAGGGUGCGAGCGUUGUCCGGAAUCACUGGGCGUAAAGGGCGCGUAGGCGGCUUUUUAAGGGUGCGGUGAAAGUCCGGGGCUUAACCCCGGAUCGGCCGUGCCGACUGGGAGGCUUGAGCACUGUAGAGGCGAGUGGAAUUCCGGGUGUAGCGGUGGAAUGCGUAGAGAUCCGGAAGAACACCGGUGGCGAAGGCGGCUCGCUGGGCAGUGGCUGACGCUGAUGCGCGACAGCGUGGGGAGCAAACAGGAUUAGAUACCCUGGUAGUCCACGCCGUAAACGAUGGGCACUA
rnacentral:rRNA from 1 species